rnacentral:lncRNA from 1 species
CUGGCCCUGUUUAGGGCUGUCAAUAGGUAUGGCUACCCGAAAUUUUAUUCGAACCCGAAUCCAAACAGAGGGAAUUUACUCGAUACUAAAUGAAUAUGGUUUCGAACAUAAAUAUAAAAAAUAAAAACUAGACGGAUAUGGAAACGGAUGUGGAUUUUGACUGUACCCGACCCGAACCCGAACCCGAACCUGACCCGAACCGAAUCUGAAUUUUACAUUAUAUAUAACAUGUAUAUAAAAAAUUAAUAUUAUAUUUGAAUUUGUAUCUUAAAAAUUUAGAUUUAAUGUAACAUAUUUUGAAAUAUUUGAAAGAGAAAUAAUUAUUUUGGGUCUGGAUUUUCGGAUUCGGGUUUUUGAAAAUCCGCCCCAAAUCCAAUCCGUUGAC